AACAGUGGCCAUAUCACCCUGCAGCUCUCCCCUGGCAUCCCACAAGCCUAGCAGGUGUGAGCCUGUUCAGUACCUGGAUGGGAGACCUCCUGGGAAAAACUAAGGCUGCUGCUGGAA
rnacentral:rRNA from 1 species